rnacentral:sRNA from 1 species
GUGUGAGGGUCUUUGAGGGUUUUUCCCCAGGUACCAGCUCUGACAGCCUGCCCGGCACCGUGGUUCUCGGCAGGGGUACUUGGAGGGGCGCAGUGGGCGAGCAGCAGGCGUGCUGAGCACUGGCAGUGCCCAGGUCGGCCUGGAAUGAGGGCCGCGCUUCCAGAAUGCCCAGGGCGCUGGUGGAGAACCAUGCCUGGUGCUGUCAGCUGUGCUUCACUGGCUCCUCAUGGCCCACAGGCACCUCACCCACUCCUGCAGAUGAGCCAGGGGUCCACAGAGGGAUAAGCCCUGAAUGCCCAGCUGCCCCCGGGACAACCAUGCCACAGAGUUACAGGAAGCAAGGGGGCCGCAGAAGCCCCUCUGGUGGGGGUGCCUCCCAUGAGUGUGUGUGCUGACCCCAGAUUGGCAGGACCCAAGCGCCCUGUGUCCUGGCUUUCAGGAGCUCAGGUGUGCCCCCUCCAAGGCCCAGCCAUAGCGAUGAGAGCCUGGUGUCCAACUCUUCUGGGUCCGCCCCACUCGUGGGCCCCGGGUGGCUGUUCAGUCUCUGGUUUAGUAACAGAAACGUCUGUUUCGAGGAAAGCGUGCCUGGAACUCUGCACAUGGCGUGGAGCAGAGCUUCAGGGUCAUGCUCCCGUGAGCUUCGCCACAGCCUGGAGGUGGUUUCUGCCUGGGCUGCCAGUAGAGCUGGCAAGUCCAGGAGUCACAGCCCUUGUCCCUCUCCUGCCAAUGUGGGUGGGCCCACUGAGGCCUCAGUUACAGCUACAUCAGAGCGGACCCCACGUCGUGGUUCCACCCAGCUGGCGGUCAAGGGCCCCUCUGUCCAGACAGGAGAGAAGCAGGGAGUUUGGAAAGCAGAGAGCAAGAGGUGGCUGGUCUCAGCCCUGUGACCUGGGCCAGGCCUAGGACGCCCCUGAGCCUCAGUGUUCUGUCUGGACGAGCUGCCCUCCUGCCCCCACCAAGCCCUGAUGUCAAGCCCUCUCCCUGCAGGGACUGUGAGAGUGUCUGCUUCAUCGGCCGGCCGUGGCGUGUCGUGGAUGGCCACCUGAACCUUCCCGUAUGCAAGGGUAUGAUGGAGGCCAUGCUGUACCACAUCAUGACCAGGCCUGGCAUCCCCGAGAGCUCCCUGCUGCGCCACUACCAGGGGGUCCUGCAGCCCGUCGCCGUGCUGGAGUUGCUCCAGGUGUGGGGUCUUCCCGGGUUCAGCAGGGUGUGGAGGCGGCUGGGUGCACUCAAUGGCCCAGCUGUGAUGUUCAGGCCCCAGGCAACAUGCAGUACCACCAUACUGCUUGCCUGCACCUCCUCCCCCAGCUUGUCCUGGGCUCCUGCCUCUCAGGCCGUCCCUCAGUGUCCUUCACCAGCUCCAUGCUGCUGGCCAGGCUGGAAGAUGGGGUGCCCGGGGUGCUUGUCUCUGAUGCUUUCUCUGUGCCAGGGGUCACUAACUCAUGAGCCCGCCGGGCCCCACGGGUCAAGCAGCUGCCCCCUGGUGCAGCUGCUUCCUGCUUGGCUGACUCCCAUGUGUGCCUGGGGCCUCCAGCUCCUCUGGCAGCUAGGAGCUUGAAGUUGAGUGUCAAAUUCCCCAUGAGCCAAACAAAACCCCACCUGGAAGCCAGUCUUGGCUCACAGGAAGCUGGGAUUUAUCCCGCGCUGCACGCCUCUCCUCCCCAAAUGAGAUUCAGCGUGGUGGCCCCAGCCAGCGCUGUACACGUGCUGCUCAGGCAGCUGCCUCUCCCGCCAGGGCCUUUGCCUGAACCCUCCUGGUACAUGCCCACCUGCCUCAUGCCCAGUUCAGGUGCCCCCUGCUCUGGGAAGUGGCUCCCUGGUACAGAGGGGGCAUUCCAUAAAUGCUUGAAGAAUAAAUCAACAAGCAGGCGAGGGCAGUGCCGCUGUAACCUGUGUGUCUGGUGUCUCCAGGGCCUGGAGUCCCUCGGCUGCAUCCGGAAGCGCUGGCUGAGAAAGCCGAGGCCUGUCUCGCUCUUCUCUACACCCGUGGUGGAAGAGGUGGAAGUGCCCUCCAGCCUGGACGAGAGCCCCAUGGCUUUCUAUGAGCCCACCUUGGACUGUACCCUCCGGCUGGGCCGUGUGUUCCCCCAUGAGGUCAACUGGAACAAGUGGAUCCACCUCUAGGACCCCUGUGGGCGUCCCCUCCCUCCCAGCCACCGCCUGCCACACCACUCCUGCCUGGUGCUCGGCAGACCCCACUGUGCCCUGGCCUUGGGUCUGCCGAGCCUCCUGCAGCAGGGGACGGGUGCUUUGGCCAGAGUCACAGACUGACACGUUUCCCACUGUACUGGAACUCUGGAAAGAGGGGUUCCCCCACCUGCCCAUCCCCCAGGCUCUUCUGGGCCUUCCCCUUGGGAACUGGCCUCAUCACACCGGGAGUUGGUGCUUCUUGUCUCUGGGUCUCCAGAGUUUGCCCCGCCUGUGCACACCUCACAUUCCAGACUCUAGCCAUCUCGGCAGGAUCUCCUGGCUCCUUGAGUGCCCAGGUGCAACCAAGAGGAAGGGCCUUGUGGGAUACACCUUGCAGAAUAGGGAUCGGUGUGCCCCGCUGCGAGGGGCCCCCCAUGGGGACUGUGGCCCCUCCGCAGGCAGGACAUCCCAACCCCUGGCUGGGACUGAACCACCCAGAGCGGAGCGGCUCCCUUUUCAGCCUUGUGAGUCACCUGGCAGGCCCCAGCUGGGCUGGCUGUCCGUGUCCCUCAGCCUGGCUGGUGAUUCCUUGCAGGCCAGAAAUGAAGAGUCCCUGUAGGUUUUGGUUUUGUUUGUUUUAUUUUGUUCUUUCACCUUUUUUCCUCAUU